UGACAGACUCAGGAGGGCCCCAGAGGCGCACACUGUGUUUCUUAUCCACGCUGCUUUCCCAGAAGGUUCCCGAGAAGUCAGAUACUGUGCUUCGUUGCAUAAUAUCCGGUCAGCCCAAGCCAGAGGUAACUUGGUAUAAAAAUGGUCAAACCAUAGAGGAGGGCGACAUUGUUUCCAGUUAUGAAUUCUUCGAGAAUCAGUAUAUUCAUGUGUUACAUCUCUACUGCUGUACCCGGAAUGACGCUGCUGUAUACCAGAUUUCGGCUAAGAACUGUUUUGGAAUGAUCUGCUGCUCUGCUUCCAUUGAGGUCGAGUGCUCGUCAGAGAGCACACAACUCUCACCUAACCCGAAAAGUGAUGGGGACACAGGUUGGAAAGGAGAAACACAGACAUGCAAGCAGAAAAGCACAAGUCAAACUGAUGAGAAAGAACCUUCUAAGGAGGCAGAGAGCCUCUCCUUGGGGACUCCUAUGUCAGCUGACGCCUCCUCCUCCAGGUUUAACCAUUUAUGCUCACUCCAGUUAUUGGCCAAUAAUGACAUUAAUGCAUCCAGUUCUGAAAAUCCCCUGGAUCUUAAAGCAACAAGGCAAACCGAGGAGGCUCAUGAUCCGAAUAGCA